UACAGAGGUCCCAAGCGUUGUUCGGAUUCACUGGGCGUAAAGGGUGCGUAGGCGGUCAGGUAAGUCUGAUGUGAAAUUCCCGGGCUUAACCUGGGGGCUGCAUUUGAUACGUGUUGUCUUGAGUUCGGAAGAGGGUCGUGGAAUUCCCAGUGUAGAGGUGAAAUUCGUAGAUAUUGGGAAGAACACCGGUGGCGAAGGCGGCGACCUGGUCCGACACUGACGCUGAGGUGCGAAAGCGUGGGGAGCAAACAGG
rnacentral:rRNA from 1 species